rnacentral:lncRNA from 1 species
CGCACGGUUGGCCAAGAGCAUGUCCAGUGCCCUCUGGGAUCCGCUCUUUCCCUGAAUAUUGGAAGGACUCCCAAAAGAAAGGAAAUUUCUUUCUGCUUUAAAAAGCCUGAUCUAGCUUGUUGAAACACCAGUCUUACCAAAAAGCAGACUUUCUUGGCCGUGGAGGAAAGGGCUGACUUUGUUCCUGGUGGAGGUCGCAUUACAAUCUCUUGGAAGUUUAGCUCAUAAAGAAAGAUGCCAAUCCUGAUACUUAAGAAAAUCAAACC